rnacentral:rRNA from 1 species
CCUACGGGGAGCAGCAGUGGGGAAUAUUGGACAAUGGGCGAAAGCCUGAUCCAGCCAUGCCGCGUGUGUGAAGAAGGCCUUCGGGUUGUAAAGCACUUUCAGUGGGGAAGAAAGCCUUGGGGCUAAUACCCUCGAGGAAGGACAUCACCCACAGAAGAAGCACCGGCUAACUCCGUGCCAGCAGCCGCGGUAAUACGGAGGGUGCGCGCGUUAAUCGGAAUUACUGGGCGUAAAGCGCGCGUAGGCGGUCUGAUAAGCCGGUUGUGAGAGCCCCGGGCUCAACCUGGGAACGGCAUCCGGAACUGUCAGGCUAGAGUGCAGGAGAGGAAGGUAGAAUUCCCGGUGUAGCGGUGAAAUGCGUAGAGAUCGGGAGGAAUACCAGUGGCGAAGGCGGCCUUCUGGACUGACACUGACGCUGAGGUGCGAAAGCGUGGGUAGCAAACAGGAUUAGAUACCCCUGUAGUC